ensembl:lncRNA
AAGGAGAGAAGGAGCGAGGUGAGAAGGAGAGAGGAGAGAAGGAGAGAAGGAGCGAGGUGAGAAGGAGAGAGGUGAGAAGGAGAGAGGAGAGAAGGAGUGAGGUGGAGCGAGGUGAGAAGGAGAGAAGGAGCGAGGUGAGAAGGAGUGAGGAGAGAAGGAGAGAGGAUAGAAGGAGUGAGGAGAGAAGGAGUGAGGAGAGAAGGAGUGAGGAGAGAAGGAGCGAGGUGAGAAGGAGUGAGGAGAGGAGAGAAGGAGUGAGGAGAGAAGGAAUGAGAAGAGAAGGAGUGAGGUGAGAAGGAGAGAGGAGAGAAGGAGAGAAGGAGCGAGGUGAGAAGGAGAGAGGAGAGAAGGAGAGAAGGAGCGAGGUGAGAAGGAGAGAGGAGAGAAGGAGAGAAGGAGCGAGGUGAGAAGG